rnacentral:rRNA from 1 species
UACGGGGGGGGCAAGCGUUGUUCGGAAUUACUGGGCGUAAAGGGUCUGUAGGUGGCCAACUAAGUCAGACGUGAAAUCCCUCAGCUUACCUGGGGAACUGCGUCUGAUACUGGAUGGCUCGAGUGUGGGAGAGGAAUGCGGAAUUCCAGGUGUAGCGGUGAAAUGCGUAGAUAUCUGGAGGAACACCGGUGGCGAAGGCGGCAUUCUGGACCAUAACUGACACUGAGAGACGAAAGCCAGGGGAGCAAACGGG